rnacentral:rRNA from 1 species
GACGAACGCUGGCGGCGUGCUUAACACAUGCAAGUCGAACGGAAAGGCCUGCUUUCCCUUGUGGAUUGCGGGUGCUCGAGUGGCGAACGGGUGAGUAACACGUGAGUGAUCUGCCCCCAACUUGGGUAUAAGCCUGGGAAACUGGGUCUAAUUCCCGAUAGGACUGCAGGGUGGUGCCUGUGGUGGAAAACGAUUUUCUAGUGGUUGGGGAUGAGCUCGCGGCCUAUCAGCUUGUUGGUGGGGUAAUGGCCUACCAAGGCGGCGACGGGUAGCCGGCCUGAGAGGGUGGACGGCAACAUUGGGACUGAGAUACGGCCCAGACUCCUACGGGAGGAAGCAGUGGGGAAGAUUGCACAAUGGGCGGAAGCCUGAUGCAGCGACGCCGCGUGGGGGAUGACGGCCUUCGGGUUGUAAACUCCUUUCGACCGCGAGGAAGCCACCUGGUUGGAAGGGUGGUGACGGUAGUGGUAGAAGAAGCACCGGCUAACUACGUG